GCUGGGCCAGUUUUGUCAACUUCCUGGAUCUGAACCUGAACAUGAUCAGUUCUAGCAUUACUCCUGCCUUGCCUACCACCACCAGUUGAGGAUUAAGCAACUGUGUGGUUGUCCGGCAGAGGAACGUUGAGAAUUUGUGGGCUCAGUGAAAAGAAAGCAACUAUAUCUAAGACAUGAAGAACAGCUCGAUGGAGCCAAGAAUGCAACAGAGUGUCUUUAAAUCCAGUAAUGAGAUGUUUAGUGAGCGGAUCUGGACCAAUUUUACGUGGACAUAGAUACUAAUGAAUUCUACAAGAGGACGUAGAGAAAUUUUGUGUUUGUGUGGGAAAGAGCACUUGAGUGGGGACAUUUUAAGUUCAUUUGCAAGACAGAGGAAGCCAAUUGCGAACUUUCAUCAAAUAAACUGAAUUAACCAUUACGGCUUUAGACAUCUUUUUAGCUUCAUGCUGCCAGUAUCUUUUUUAAAAAUUAAAGUUUACACAGAAUAAUAACAGUCUGGAUGAUUAACAUGGCAACGGCAACAGACACUUAUCUGCAUUGGGUUACUUUUGUCUCCUGUUUCAAAGCCUGCAAUCCUGCGAAAUAACAUUACCUAAUAUCUACCCACAUGUAAACAUCCCAGUGUCCCAUGGCCUGUUGAGUGGAGAAUGACU